rnacentral:rRNA from 1 species
CUAUUAUGGAGAGUUUGAUCCUGGCUCAGGACGAACGCU